UUUUGACCUCGGAUCAGGUAGGGAUACCCGCUGAACUUAAGCAUAUCAAUAAGCGGAGGAAAA
rnacentral:rRNA from 3 species